UGAGGAAUAUUGGUCAAUGGACGAGAGUCUGAACCAGCCAAGUAGCGUGAAGGAUGACUGCCCUAUGGGUUGUAAACUUCUUUUAUACGGGAAUAAAGUUAGCCACGUGUGGCUUUUUGUAUGUACCGUAUGAAUAAGGAUCGGCUAACUCCGUGCCAGCAGCCGCGGUAAUACGGAGGAUCCGAGCGUUAUCCGGAUUUAUUGGGUUUAAAGGGAGCGUAGGCGGGUUGUUAAGUCAGUUGUGAAAGUUUGCGGCUCAACCGUAAAAUUGCAGUUGAUACUGGCGACCUUGAGUGCAACAGAGGUAGGCGGAAUUCGUGGUGUAGCGGUGAAAUGCUUAGAUAUCACGAAGAACUCCGAUUGCGAAGGCAGCUUACUGGAUUGUAACUGACGCUGAUGCUCGAAAGUGUGGGUAUCAAACAGGAUUAGAUACCCUGGUAGUCCACACAGUAAACGAUGAAUACUCGCUGUUGGCGAUAUACGGUCAGCGGCCAAGCGAAAGCAUUAAGUAUUCCACCUGGGGAGUACGCCGGCAACGGUGAAACUCAAAGGAAUUGACGGGGGCCCACACAAGCGGAGGAACAUGUGGUUUAAUUCGAUGAUACGCGAGGAACCUUACCCGGGCUUAAAUUGCAACUGACUGAACCGGAAACGGUUCCUUCUUCGGACAGUUGUGAAGGUGCUGCAUGGUUGUCGUCAGCUCGUGCCGUGAGGUGUCGGCUUAAGUGCCAUAACGAGCGCAACCCUUAUCGAUAGUUACUAGCAGGUCAUGCUGAGGACUCUAUUGAGACUGCCGUCGUAAGAUGUGAGGAAGGUGGGGAUGACGUCAAAUCAGCACGGCCCUUACGUCCGGGGCUACACACGUGUUACAAUGGGGGGUACAGAAGGCAGCUACACGGCGACGUGGUGCUAAUCCCGAAAGCCUCUCUCAGUUCGGAUUGGAGUCUGCAACCCGACUCCAUGAAGCUGGAUUCGCUAGUAAUCGCGCAUCAGCCACGGCGCGGUGAAUACGUUCCC
rnacentral:rRNA from 1 species